AACGUAGGUGGCGAGCGUUAUCCGGAUUUACUGGGCGUAAAGCGUGUGCAGGCGGUCGAACAAGUGGUGUAUGAAAUAUCCAGGCUCAACCUGGAGGGGUUAUGCCAGACUGUUCGGCUAGAGGGCGAGAGAGGGGCGUGGAAUUCCGGGUGUAGUGGUGAAAUGCGUAGAGAUCCGGAGGAACCCCAGAGGCGAAGGCGGCGCCCUGGCUCGCCACUGACGCUCAGACACGACAGCAUGGGGAGCGAACGGG
rnacentral:rRNA from 1 species